rnacentral:lncRNA from 1 species
CUGGUACAUAAAAGGGAGAGAAAGUUCUGGGCUGUUUUUCCUUUUCAAGAGGAAAGACCGUCCCAGCGAGCCUGGUUAGGACUCGAUCUGACCAGCAGAGGGAGCAAGAGCCAUUGGAGACGCAGGCGCUGUGUGUGUGGGGGGUGAGUGAGUGUGUGUGUGUGUGUGUGUGUGUGCGUGCGCGCACACGCGCGGCCUCCGCGAGAGCUAGAUUUCCUGGAAACACUUACAGCGAGGAACACGUUUAUAAGAGUUAUUUUUCUGUCAUAGUCUUUCCCUUCCCAUGUUCCUUGCAAGAUUCGUCACAUGGCAGCUGCAAAGGCCUGCAAAGGCUCAGGGCUUGGGAAAGUCAAGGCCCUGGCCCCCUUGUCCGCCCGCAUUUCAACAGCUGGAGAGGAUUUAGAUGGAAUUGAGGGAAGAUGAGAAAGGAUGGGCCCUGAGCAGCACUCGCACCCACGGCGGCCUUCGCACAGGUCACAGCUCUCAGCAGCCAGGGUUCUCCAGAGGAGUCAGCCCUCAGAGUCGGUUGGGACUGCCACUGAAGGGAGUGAGCGCCCCAUCAUCAGGGGUGUGCAAGGAGCUAGAAAGGCAGAUAAGGAAACACUUCUGACAUGGACAUGAAUAUAUUGGUGCGGGGAACUGAGCCUAGGCUGGCUCUCGGCAGACCACCGCCCCUGACUGUCUUUGUACAGCCCCUAAACCGAGGAUGAUUUUACAUUUUCAAGUGGGUGAAACAAAUAAAAACGAGAAUAUUAUGUGAUGUGAAAAUUACAUGAAAUUCAGGGUUUCGUGUGCAUCCAUGAAGUCUGAGGGGAACACAGCCACGCUCGUCAUGGGUGUUAUCCGCGGCCGCCUUCACCCUGAGCAGCAGAGUGGAGUCGCGGCAACAGACCUGUGUGACCCCCGCCGCCUCAAAUGGCUACUUCUCCAGCCUUUUACAGGAAGAGUUUUGUGACCCCUAAUCUAGGCUGUUGAAAUUGGCAGGAGAAGGAUGCAUCCAGUCCAAGCCCUAUUAUUUCAUUUGGGGAAACUGAGCCUUGGGCAGGGAAUGGGCUUGCUCAAGGGCAGCAGUCAGGGGUCACAGGGCCCCCCAUGGCUCUGCAAGGCACUUGGUAUUUCCCAUCACGGCCCCUGAGGCGUCCCAGCAUGGAGGGGCAGGUACGAGACUGUGCAGGAGCACAGUGGGAUGGGGGGCAGGAAAGCCCAGUGCCAGGGGAACGCGCACCAGGCUCUGGGCCAUCCUCUGCUCAGACACCAGGAGGAGGCGGGCUGGCCUACAGCCUGGGGACCAGAGGCUGGUCUUGGCCUGGCAUCCAAGAAGUGGGGCAGCUGUGGCCUCUCUCUGUCCCCUGUGGGUCCCCCUCUCCCCCAAGUCCUCAGGAGGAGAAGGGACGUGUGUCAGGGAGGGCAGGCACAAGUACAAGUCCCGCUUGAACUAGGCUGUGCCAGCUGGUCUCCUACCUGCUGUUGGAAGACAUCCUGGAGGAGGUGUUACUCCAACGCGCCCAGCUGGGGGGCAGGGCUGGGAGCAGACCCCGGCCCACGGCACAGGCCACAGAACCUCCAAGGGCUCUGCGCCUGGCACCUGGGGGCCCCGGGGAGCGCGAGCCCCCUCCCCCGUUAUCGGGAGGUCCGAUCUGUCCUCUGACUGAAGGAGGCCGGGAAGGGAGGGGGGCAGCGGGGAAGGGGAGAGGACAGCGCAGAGCAACAGAGGAAGGAGCAGCAGGGGAGGAGGCCGAGUGAGAGAUGGAAGAAGAAAGAAAGAGAGCAAAUGGAAGGAAGAGAGAAAGGAGAGCAAAGAAGGAAGGAAAAGAAAAAAGAAAGAGAACGCGCAGCCGUUUCCCGGCGCCUCGUGUCCGGCUGGAGGGACCGGCUCCCCCUGGGACCUCUCCUUCCAGUCCUGCGGCUUUGGGGGACGGUGACGGGGCGACCCGACACCUGCCAGGAUGGGGGGCCAGCACGCGCCCCGUCGUGAAGGCCGGAGCGGCCCUGCGCCGGAGUGGGGUCCAGGAUGAGCACCCGGGCGGGGGUCACACUCACCUCCCAGCCUGGCGCGCUUGUCCCCAGCGCGCAGCGCCCUUAGCGCAGGGCACGCUCUCGAGGGCUCCGCGGGGGUCCCCAGGCCUCCCACACCCGGCCUCGCCCUCGGCGCACGCCGCGGACCCCACGGAGUUGAGCUCUGGCGGCUGCCAGGCCCGGCCCGGGUGUGGCCUCUGGCGCCGGGUUCGCAGGACUCGGACCCAAGGUCGCUGCUGAGCCGCCGCCGGCUGAGGGUGGGCGUGAAGUGGGGGCGGGGCGGCCCAAGGGCCUGGAGCGCCUGGGUCUGCGCCACGUCCCGCAGGGUUGCCCUGGUCCCCCGGCCACCAAGAACCGGGUCCCAGCUGGGUCGGGUCACGGUAGCUAUUACCCGCCUACGGAUCUGCCUUUUACAACUCACACUUCUAAAGAAAACUACACAUUCAAAAAAAUAGCUACAAAACAAAAAUAAAGUCACCGAUUCCAAAGGAACAAAUCUU